UGGGGAAUAUUGCACAAUGGGGGGAACCCUGAUGCAGCCAUGCCGCGUGAAUGAAGAAGGCCUUCGGGUUGUAAAGUUCUUUCGGUGAUGAGGAAGGUGUUUGUUUUAAUAGAACAAGCAAUUGACGUUAGUCACAGAAGAAGCACCGGCUAACUCCGUGCCAGCAGCCGCGGUAAUACGGAGGGUGCGAGCGUUAAUCGGAAUAACUGGGCGUAAAGGGCACGCAGGCGGUGACUUAAGUGAGAUGUGAAAGCCCCGAGCUUAACUUGGGAAUUGCAUUUCAUACUGGGUCGCUAGAGUACUUUAGGGAGGGGUAGAAUUCCACGUGUAGCGGUGAAAUGCGUAGAGAUGUGGAGGAAUACCGAAGGCGAAGGCAGCCCCUUGGGAAUGUACUGACGCUCAUGUGCGAAAGCGUGGGGAGCAAACAGG
rnacentral:rRNA from 1 species